ensembl:lincRNA
GCUUAGCUUUGAAAGAAGCGGAGGACUUUUCAUCGGUGCUAAGACAGGGUGAGCAGCAGGCCAGACAUUUGGCAGGAUGCAGUGACUAGAAAGAAGCUGCAGAAGUGCAGCUUUUGAACUUUCUCUUUGUCUAUUUUAACUUUUCCUAAAUGAACCUUGGUUUCAAGAGGAACUAGAAUAAAUCGAUCAAUGUGUAUAAUGAAAAAUAAUGAAAACACUACUUGUCAAGCCAUGUGGAAUAGCUAAAGAAGAAAUGGUGGGAAAUAUAAUAGUCUUAAAUGGUCUAACAGGAAAAUUUAAAAUAUUAUAAAUCAGAAGAUGUUAGUUUUGUCUAAAGAUUUGUCUGUAGAGAACAAAGCAUGGCUAACUGCAGAUGGGAAUGAAUAGUAGUGGACCUGAAUAAUGACAGGCAGUGUUUCAGUAGUCAACCAUUUUAAAGACAGGUGUGUGCUAUAUCCAUUCAGAUUCUUUGUUCCUCACUUCUUUUUCUACAUGUCACUUCAUUUUCUUUAUAUAUAAAUAUGGCCUGCACACGUGGACUUGAGGCAGGGGAAAGAAGAGACAUCCCCCUUUUAAGGUAAAUGGCUGCUCAAUUUUGGAAUCAUAAAUAAUGCCAAAUAAGAAUACAAGACUCUCUCUCCAUAUAUGUGUAUAUAUGUCUGUCUGUCUAAGACUCUCUCUCCAUAUAUGUGUAUAUAUGUCUGUCUGUCUCUGUGUGUGUGCAUGUGAUUUUAUCCUUCAACUCAGCAGCUCAAGACUGCAAGAAUAGCAACUGAAGAAACAUAGAGAAAGUUCAUAAAAGAAAACAAAACAGAAACUGCUGAAGAAGAUUAACAACAUCACAAGUCAGUUCAGGUAAAUGUUAGGGAAAGAGAGAGAGCUAGAAUAGAGAAAUGGUGCAAAUAUACAAAUAUAUAAUGAAAAGGGAAAAUAACUGCCAGUAUGAAAUUGUAAAUUUUCAGGUUAUGAAUCACUAUUUUAAUUAACUUGAAAGCCUACCCGAAUCAGAUAAGUUACAAGAAAAUGUAAAAAUGUAUAGAAAUAGCACAGGGACUUUUUAAAAUUAAAGAGACCACUAAGUAUGCAAGAUUUAUAAUAGAAUUGAUGUAUUGUUCCUCCCAAGUAAUAACAGGUUUGCACAUGCGCAUGUGUACACACACAUACACACUCUUCUCUCUGUCUUUGGUGUUUACUCCCUUGUGUAAGCUCUUCCUUUGGGUGUGGUGCUGGAUCUUUUAACUCUCUACUUUCACAGGCCCACAUGGUUAGAGUCCAUGACCAUCAUGGAAGAGAACAUGGAAACAGGCACAGUGCUUGAACAAUAGGUGAGCAUUUACAUUCAAUCCUCAAGUGCAAGGCAGAGAGAGAGAGAGAGAGAGAGAGAGAGAGNNNNNNNNNNNNNNNNNNNNNNNNNNNNNNNNNNNNNNNNNNNNNNNNNNNNNNNNNNUCCCCUUCCAAUCGGUCUUCAUUCUUACAGGAAGUUGCUGUUCCAAUAUUUCUUAGUGCAUAUUAUUUGAAAAUCUGAUCAUGAAAUGAAAUCAUACAAGCAGGUAUUCUUUCAUAUGUGGUUUAUUUUUCUCUAUACUAAUGCUUUUAUCAUUGCUCUGUACUGCUUCACAGAUAAGUAACUUACCAGGUUUUUGUCACUACAUUCUAAAUCCAUUGGUCUAGUUUGUCUUUGGACGGUCACCUGUAUGGUUCCCCUGUUUGGUAAACCAUGAAUACAAACGUCUUACAAUCUUGUACAACUUUUCAUGUAUAUGUGACUGUGUUUAUCUCAAAUAAAUUCCUAAGAGUAAAAUUUAGGGGCUAUAAAGUAAACCUCUAUUGAACUUUGUAAGAAAGUCAAAAAUUCAGUUGUCCAUUAUUGUUAAACUAUUUAUUUGAAGCAGUAAAGUAGGAGAGAUUCACACUUCACAUUCCCACCAGUGUUUAGUGCUGUCAGACUGUGAGUUUGCUGCCAUGAACAUGUAAACUGAGCCCUCCUUUGGGAAAAGAAGAAAGGCCCGCACUCCUUGUGACCAGAAGUUUUCUGUUCCAUGGAUAGGAACGGAGCCCCCUUCAGCAUGGCUGCUAUGUCCUGUGAGUUAUUGCCAGGCUUAGUGGCUGGAAUCUUGCUGCUAAAAGUUGAGGAAAGGGCACAGACCAAUGAGCUAGAGAGCCACAGGUUCAAUAGGCCAAUGUCUCAGCUCUACAGAAUUCUCACUGCAGACCUCAACUCUCCAGAGACAGAAGGACAAUCUGUGGAACAGGAGACUGAGAGGUCCUGUUAGCCACCUCAGGAGCAGUGGUUCUCAACCUUCCUAAUGUUAUAACCCUUUAAUACAGUUCUUCAUCUGUGGUGAUCCCCAAACAUAAAAUGUUUCAUCGCUACUUUAUAACUACAUUUUGCUACUGUUAUGAAUCAUAAUGUAAAUAUCUGAUAUGUGACAACCAAAAGGUCAUGAGACACAGGGUGAGAAUCACUGUUCUAGAGGGACAGAAGGAGGAAAAAUAAAAUAUAUUAGUAUUGGCGUUGUCAAUUUUCUUCCUGUGCCGCAGACCCUCUGGGUCCCUGUGUCUGCGUGGAACAGGGUCUCUCGACGCGGGUGGGCAAAGCGUGUAUGAAUGACAGACAGAUGCACACAGGAGAGGUUGUGUGUAGAAUCUGAAUGUAAUUUACAAUUCGAGCUUCAGACUUUUAUACAGAAGACAAUAAAAAAGUCGGGUGACAUACCCACAAGGUACAAAUGAGGUAACCGGAUGCUUAAUGAUUCUUACACAGAACAGAGGAAUGAAAACGCAAAGAUCAGAAGGAACUGGGCAAUAAAAUAAUUGAGACAAAGUCAGCCCGAUCUGCUUCCUAAACCAUAGUAAAUUCCUGUACAUAGGUGUAACUCAGUUAUAAUUCUAAGCAUCUAUUCUGGUUUCCCCUACGGUCAGAAAUUUCUUUCUUCCUAGGUGAUGGUAGAUUCCUGUGAAGGGCAGUGACCUAACUUUUACUCAAAGAGAUAGUGUAAUACCAGGGGCAGUACUGAAUUCCAAACCCANNNNNNNNNNNNNNNNNNNNNNNNNNNNNNNNNNNNNNNNNNNGGCUUUAGCUAUGUCAGAAUUCAAUCUUAAAAGGCACUUAUGAUAGGAAAAUAUUGAAAGAGAGCGCAUGGAUCCAUACACUAGACUAA